rnacentral:lncRNA from 1 species
CAGACUGUGCAUGAGAGCACAAUCACACAAAAGAUUGAAAAAGAGGAGAGUGAAUGAGGGGCCACUUUGGUGUCCUGCCACAGGCUGGGCACAGCCUCAGUUUGCAAUCAGAGGGCUCCCCUGGUGCAGUCCAUGGCUGCUUGGCAGAGGGCUGCUGCGGCUGGCAGGGUGGCUCUGUCCUCAGCAGCAGUCAUCUCCUCGGCAUCUCCGGCUGGAGCUCGCUGAAGAGCGCACAGGAAUGCUGCUUAGGACUCCUGCCUGACCUUGGAGUAGCACCAAAGUCCUGGAACGCUGGGAUGGAAGUGUUAGCUCCUGAGAAGAAAACACAUGAAAAGAAUGAAGAUUUGCAACAGUAUCCUCAGAAGCCUGCAGGCUGUAAGAAAAUGCUUAGGAAUUGCUGCUUGAUAAAGCGAAUUUUUGCCUGGAAAAGUCUGAGCUCUAAAGGUACCAUUUCUAUUGAAAAUUUUAAUGUAGGACAAAUUGUUGUCCUUUCAAGAAUUCUGAAUUAUUGAUACAAUAGUAUUGGUGAAUUUAACAUCAGUCAAGUUACAGGUACAAAGAGUCUCUGCUGUCUUGAGUCUAUUAUGCAGAGAGAUUAAAAAUGGUACAGCUUUGAUUGAGGUGCUUUAUCAUAAUGUGAUAAAAAAUAAUUGUACUGCAUGAGUAGUCAUUUUGCAGCACAUAAAAAUACAUGGUCUGCAGAAAAAAAAUUUCUUCAGUCAGAAGAUAAAUGAGUAAAUGUAAAAUACCAGAAAUUAGAUUUAUUAAUUUAUCAGGGCCCAACCCAAAAAGCUGUUUUGAUGAGUAAAACCUCCUUUCAUUGUUGUCAGAGUAUAUUUGCAUGGAAAUUACAUGAUCAAUCCCUUUGUCUUUGAGGAAAUGGAGAAAGG